rnacentral:lncRNA from 1 species
AAAUAGAUAAGGAGUAGGAGACAGGAUUAGCAUAACAUCUGUGGUCGUCUCAAGGAGGGACAAGAUUCAAGGGUUGUCUUGAGGUGAGACGAUUACAAUUUAGAUUAAUUCUAAGGUGGACUGUAUGGUAUUUAAGUAUUUAAUUUUAAAAUCCAGAAUGUUUAGUGAAAGAUGUGCUCUGAUCUCCUGCCAGGAGGAUUGAAGAAUUUGUAAACUUAUAUGUGCAGACAUAAGUAGUCCAGUAAAGAUUAAACUCAUACCUGUGCUCUAUUUCUGGCUUUGCCACCAAGCAAUUCCGUGAUCUUGAGAUUUCCCUGACCUUUCCAUCAUGUUUCCAACAUCUGUUAUUUUUCUUGAGGUGGUCCCAGAUGAGGAGGGGAUUCGGCAAUUAUUUGGAGAGUUCUAUUGACAAUAGAAGAAGGUUUCCUGGUCUCUUCUGAUCAACUAGACUAGAAGUACUGUCCAUAUUGGUCAAGUUAUCUAGCUGCUCUCCAGCGAGGUUUUUUUUUAACUUUUAAUUUUUUGCUCCAUAGAGAUACAGCCUGUGAUGAUGAAGGCUCCUUUUUACCUGAGGUAGAGAAGCAUUUUAAGGAAAGAUGAAACACAUCAGAGGAUCCUACUUACUUUGGAGGACACAGAGAGAACAGAAUUAGGAAAAUAUAUAAAGAACUUUAAGGUUACUUCCCAAUGCCAGUAAAAUCCAGGUUCAGAAAUUUAUAAGAUGCUGUAAGAAGAAAAAGAAGUUGCUGUAAUUGACAUAAUAUCUCAUUAAGGGGAGAAAACAAUGUUCUAUGUAACAGGCUUUCCCCUCUCCUUUACAGGACAGCAACUAGCUGCUACCCUCAGGCUUUGUAAGUUCACCAGCUGAUAGCUACAUAGCUAAGGAAAAACCAGGCACCUUGAGCCAGACAGGGUGGCUCCAUCCAUUCACAUGUGCCUAUGCUUACCUCUGAUGGACGAGGCCCUGGGUGCUCAGCACUGGAAACACAGUGUUAACAAGGCGGCACUAGCCGGAAACCUGGUGUGGUGAUUCUGGUGAAAUGGGGCCAGUAAGGUGAUUUGGGAAUGUAAUUAGGAGGCUAACCUAGCCAGUGGGAAGCUGUGAAGGAAAGCCACUGACGAGGAAAUGGUGUUUAAGCUGUGACUUGAAAGCUGAGUAGCAGUAAGCAGGUAAGAGGGAGGCACGUGAAGGAAGCAGAAACAGCAUGUACAAAAUACCUGAGACAAGUGAGAGCCUUCCUCAUUCAAGGGAACAAGAAAACUAGUGUGAUUGGACCUUGAGGUGUAACUGGCAAAUAGAAUUGUAAGAUAUUUAAAGGGCACCUGUGAUGAUUUGAUCUACAUCGCUGUGGGAUUCCUAUAGUCAGGUUCAUCAUUAGCGCAAGGUGAUUGGCUUUUCAAAUCUUUGGGCUAACAGAUUGUUAACUCUAAGUUUGGUCAUAGGUGUUCAGUUGGUAAUGGGUGCCUGAGGAAGCAGGGCCAAUGAGAUAUGUAGGGCCACUUUGUGUAGCCCCUUCAGCCUUGCAAAAUAUCUGCCAUUGCAGAAGUCAACAUGACACUGCACGGCAGCCCUGUCCUAGCUCUGAAUACAGCAACUUUUCUUUUUAAUUGAUUCCCAAGUGGUGCUCUCUUCCUUCCAGGCCCUGGCCUGACCCUAUAGGGAGUCAGGGAAGUGGUAUAUAUCCUUCUUCAAUGAGAUUCCCUCUCUGAGGGAUUGCCUAUCUGCUUUGGGAAAACUUUUUCUACUGCAUUUGUCAUUUUCCCUUCUUUAAUUUGGCUCACUGGCUACCUGAAUUUGUCCACUUUGACCUCAUCAUCCCUCCCUGACCAAAGAAUAACAACUCCAUUGAAAAACAGCAACAACAACAAAAAGCCAUGAUUAAGAAAGAAAGAAAGAAAGAAAGAAAGAAAGAAAGAAAGAAAAGAAAAAGCUUACCUUGAGUGCACUAUCAGAGAUGAUACAAUCAAUCCUUUGGGUGAACUUAUACUAAAGUGUAAAUGACUGAAACAUGAAUACCUUCUCCAGUCUCCUUUGUGAAAGGUAUCUUCUCUUUUGUAUAUUUUUAAAGAAGCUUACAAAUUAGCCUGAGGUUUUAAUUAGCCAUUGGAACAAAAAUGAAGACUUUCUAACUCAUAAAGGGAAUAUCUGAGACCACAGGGUCAUUUUUUCUGAAAUCCUUGGCACAGUACCAGUAGGCAGUCAUAGCCAGUGCUAUAAGGAAUGAGACUCUGGUCUGAUUUUCAUGGAUUAGAUUCAAAAUCUAUCAACUGUUCAAACCUGAAGACACAAACUGCAACACGCUGGGGAGGAGAGCCCCAGAAGGCACAAGUUCCUAUUAUAGUCCCCAUCCCACACCCCUCACCCCAGGCCAUACACAUACUCCUCCAUCUGUCCCAUUGCCAGGGUCCUGCCCCAGGGUGCAGAGCAUGCCGGUGGGCCUCGGUGUUUUAAAGGCACCAACUUAUGCUGCUUCCUCAGCCACUGAAAGCACCGCCCACUCCCAUUCCCAAACCUGAUCACCUCGGGCGACACCCAGCUGUGGCCUGCACCGAGUGACCUGCCUGGGGAAGAGCGGCCCCCAUCACCUGCCCAGACCCUCGGAAGCAGGGCCCCAAGGCCCAAGCGCAGAGCUGCGGCUCUCACCGACCCGCAGCUCCCCAGCCUUUCAGGACCCAACGUCGGCAAGGAAAGGACCCCCCCCCCACCCCCCCGUUUGGGACUCUUUGUUCGCUACGCUUCCUCGUUCCUGUUCUCAAAUCUAGCUCCCAGCAGCCCCCGCCAGCGCAUCCGACCUACAGGAAAGUUGCUCCGGAGCUGUAGAGGGGCGUCAUCGCCUCCUAGCAACGCUCCUAGCAACCGGGUAACAUCUGCUCCCUCUGGUCCAAUGCGAGCGGAGAACAGCUGCGCGCCCGCCUCGCGUUCCGAACCCGGAGCCGGAGGCGAGAGGCGCUUCAGAGACUGGAGGGACGGACCUGCAGGAGCCAGGGCUGCCCGCCGAGCUGCAGUUGCCGCUGCUGCCGCUGUCGCUGUCGCGCUGCCGCCGCCGCCGUUGCUGUCAGCGCUCGAGUGAAGAGUGACAGCGCCGCAAGAGCGGGAGGGAGCGCCGAACCCCGCGAACCUACGAAACAGGUGCAUGCGCCGAUCU